rnacentral:rRNA from 1 species
UACGUAGGGGGCAAGCGUUGUCCGGAUUUACUGGGCGUAAAGGGCGUGCAGGCGGUUUGUUAAGUGCAGGGUGAAAGCUCCCGGCUCAACUGGGAGAGGUCCUUGCAUACUGGCGAACUCGAGGGAGGCAGAGGAAAGUGGAAUUCCCGGUGUAGUGGUGAUAUGCGUAGAUAUCGGGAGGAACACCUGUGGCGAAGGCGGCUUUCUGGGCCUUACCUGACGCUGAGACGCGAAAGCGUGGGGAGCGAACAGG